AGCUUUUCGAAUCCGUGCAGAGAUUUCUUCAAACACCAACACAUUAGAGCUGAUCAAACUUCAAAGAUAAGUGAUGUU
rfam:Schistosoma curassoni strain Dakar, Senegal genome assembly, scaffold: SCTD_scaffold0000988